rnacentral:lncRNA from 1 species
AAUGAUGUGAUCUUUUCAUAAGUAAUUUACUUUUUUUAUAGGUGUAGGAAUUGGUGGAAGCAGAGUUGGUUUGUUUCUGCUCAUCAUCAUUUCAGGUGGUCAACAAUAGGUAACCAACAUGUCGUGCUACCAUAAAGCUUCAGUUGACGUUGAGUGUUGCCCUUGUAACCAAAUUAUGUAUUUGACUAGCUUGAACUUUCAUGAUAUUCCUUUAAACAUACUGAUAGUAUCUGCUCACAAAAAUGUUGUGCUUGCAAUGUAUUAAGUAUUAAAAUCGCAUACCUAUAAUCUAUGUAAAAGAUGCACAACCCAAAACCAAUAGUUUAACUUGAUAGAUUGACAUUUACAAUCCUGUCCAUUUCAACUUUAUUUGCUGGAUAAAUAUGUUCUUGAAUAAAUUAUUUGGUUCACUUUCAUGAUUAUGAGAAAAUUACUAAGAGAACAAUUUAGGUUGCUUACAUGUUUGUUGUGUUUUUAGUAUGGAUAAAUCAUUACUUCGGUUUUGAAAACCUUUUUGUGUUUCCCUGUCAUUGAGAUGUUUGAUUGAUUUCCUUAUAUUGGUCUAAAAUUGGUAUAGUACCUGCUGGUGCUCCUUAGGUUAAUUCACAUAUUACACCACUACUGCAUUCAUCCUUACAAUUUAACAUAUGCCACAAAAAUAACUCCAUUAACUUAUUUUAUUCACAUUCAGGAAAAGAAAAUUAGGAGAGGACUAAUAUUGUUGAGUAGUUCAAUGCCACAAGAUUGUUGACUCCCAGUAUUGACACAAAAAUUGUAUUUUUGCAGCACUUCUCGAGUAACUAUGCAUAAGUGGAAGCAAUUCAUCGUAGUAAAAAAAAAUGUGUGCCUUCCGUUUGCACAUCAACAAGAAGGCCCUUGCAGUAAAGCAGUAAUGCAAUCCUCUGAAUUCAUGGGGGAAAGGGCAAUUAAUGCAAAAGCAUCCAAACCACAUUAGAAUUUAGCCAUCUGUAAUGUAGUUGUAUGUGCUCAUCUAGCAGAACUGUUGCAAUGCUACUGCUAUAAAGCUACCAUGUACUGCCUAUCCUGUAAUCAAACAAAUGGCAGGUUUUGUUAUGUACUUACUGUCCACAAUUUGCAUACAAC